rnacentral:ncRNA from 1 species
UUAAAUGCGUCUAAAUUAGUAACUGUGACUUGUGUUUCAGAAAGGCUGCGGAUGAUGCGAGCAGCCACACCCCCACAGUGAACUCAUUAGAUAGGCAGUACAACUGAACGCAGUAGGUUGGACCGUGGGGUGCGUUAAACCCAAGAGUGCGUCAAUAAUUUGACGAACAAUAGGUGGCACCGCGGUAACAAUCGCCCUAUGG